rnacentral:rRNA from 1 species
CAGUCGCCGCGGUAAUACGUAGGUGGCAAGCGUUGUCCGGAAUUAUUGGGCGUAAAGGGCUCGCAGGCGGUUUCUUAAGUCUGAUGUGAAAGCCCCCGGCUCAACCGGGGAGGGUCAUUGGAAACUGGGAAACUUGAGUGCAGAAGAGGAGAGUGGAAUUCCACGUGUAGCGGUGAAAUGUGUAGAGAUGUGGAGGAACACCAGUGGCGAAGGCGACUCUCUGGUCUGUAACUGACGCUGAGGGGCGAAAGCGUGGGGAGCGAACAGGAUUAGAUACCCCAGUAGUCCCUGUCUCUUAUAC